rnacentral:snRNA from 1 species
GUGCUCGCUUCAGCAGCACAUAUACUAAAAUUGGAAGGAUACAGAGAAGAUUAGCAUGGCCCCUGAGCAAGGAUGACAUACAAUUUAGAACCCUUUGUUGAAUAAGC